rnacentral:rRNA from 1 species
AUGGAGCUGACCCGAUCGACGCAGCCUGAUUUUCACCUAGCUUAUGCUGAAGGCGCCUUAUCUCCUUUUCUGACACCAUCAAAGGAGGUGAGGCUCCAGGGUUUCACCGAGGAUCAUACAGCAUCAAGUUUAUCUUACGUGUCGGUGUCACAAAUUCUGUACAUGACCACCCUUUUGCCAAGCCUCAGCUACCAUGUUUCUCAUCGCUCUCAUGUCGUUGUUCUCAUAUACUGGAAAUAUUUCUCAGUUUGCUUUCAAUCGGUUACUCUGUCCUCACCAGCAGUGCACAUUGAGCGGAGUUAG